GACGAACGCUGGCGGCGUGCCUAAUACAUGCAAGUAGAACGCUGAAGCGAGGAGCUUGCUCUUCUUGGAUGAGUUGCGAACGGGUGAGUAACGCGUAGGUCACCUGCCAUGUAGCGGGGGAUAACUAUUGGAAACGAUAGAUAAUACCGCAUAACAAUGGCUGACACAUGUCAUAUAUUUGCAAGGGGCCAUUGCUGCACUACAAGAUGGACCUGCGUUGUAUUAGCUAGUAGGUGAGGUAAUGGCUCACCUAGGCGACGAUACCUAGCCGACCGGAGAGGGUGAUCGGCCACACUGGGACUGAGGCACGGCCCAGACUCCUACGGGGGGCAGCAGUAGGGGAUCUUCGGCGAUGGGGGCAACCCUGACCGAGCAACGACGCGGGGGGGAAGAAGGUUUUCGGAUCGUAAAGCUCUGUUGUAAGGGAAGGACGGGUGGGAGAGUGGAAAGUUCACGCUGUGACGGUAGCUAACCAGAAAGGGACGGCUAACUACGUG
rnacentral:rRNA from 1 species